AGAGCCGAGUCAGCCAUAAAGCUACGCGCUAGGCUCUUGGCCCUGACGUGAGGCGCGCAGAGAUGGCGUAACGGGAAUAGUUUUCAACGUCUAUUUCAUUCCCUGCUUCAGAGGACCUCUUUAAUCUUUGAUUUUGGUCCCUGUUUCUAAGAAAAGCAACUGAAAAGGUCGUAAUACCGCCCCUGAGAAAAAAGGAGCAGCGCUAAAUAAUCGAGAAAAUGCCUCCUCUUGAAACGGAUAUAGAGAUGGAAACAAGAUAUAAGAAGGAUUGAGAAUCAUAUAAUACAGGAGCUUAAACACCUAUGCGCGAUGAUAAAGAGGGUACUAUUAGAGCGCUUGGAAAAUACCAGGAAGUUGAGAGAGUUAACAGAAGGGCGCACGCUGGAUUGGCCACAAAAUCGAAUUACUGAAGUAAGUGCAAAACGACAAAUUGUCACAGAAUACAGAGAAAAGGGGAAAAGAAAUUAAGAGGAGAAAAAGAGAGAUCUAGAGGGCCGGUCCAGGAGAUACAAUCUAUGCAUAAUAGGAAUACCUGAAACUGAGGACAGAGCAAGUGGAGCUGAAACAAUAAAGGAUCUACUUGAAAAAAUUUUCCAGAAUUGAAGAACGAACUAGAUCUACAAAUGGAAAAGGCUCAUAGGAUACCUUUAAAGUUUAAUGAAAAGAAAGCAGCAUCUAGACAUAUCCGGGUGACGUUUUUGAAUUUCAAAGACGAAACAUUUUACAAGCAUCCAGUCAGAGAAAGCAGGUUACUUACAAAGGGGCAAAAGUCAGGCUGACCUCAGAUUUUUCUCCUGCAAUUCUAAAUGCCAGAAGACAGUGGAACAAUAUCUAGAGUGUUAAGGGAAAAUAAUUUUGAGCCAAGAAUUAUAUACUCUGCCAAGUUAUCAUUUCUUUACAAAGGAAACUGGAAGACAUUCUUAGAUAUACAGGGGUUAGGAAAGUAUAUCAACCAAGAACUUUCCCUGAAAAUUUUGCUGAAGGAUUUACUGCAGCUAACAGAGAACCUGAAUUAAAAUAAGAAUAGGGAGGCAAUUGUAUGAAAGAACUGAUGGUAUGCAUUAAAACUAGUUAAGGAGCAUUAAGUUUAAAUUGUUAUGUAUAGGGCAUUAAAACUAAAUACAAAAAUAGAAACAUAAGCUGGGUGUAAAAUUUCAGUUUACGUUUAAACUGGAAGGGCAUACCACAUGUUCAAUAUAUUGGACAAAUACUGUUUUAUUUUUAGCAUGUAGUAUUGUAGAUACAAAUACGCAUGUUCUUAAGCUAAACCUAAGUAAAAGGGCUUUGUCACUGUAGAUUUGACAAAUAACAUUCUAAAUGUCAAAUCUGACAAUUGGAAAACAGUACAGUUUUAUUUCCCUUAUUUUUAAGUAUAGCAGGAAAAAAAUAACAAGUUUGUCCAUGUUACUACUGAUACUGUAAAGAAACUUCCAAAUCACUGGUUUGGGAGGGGGUGGAUACAUCCUCAUUUUCUGUACAUGAUGCAUGGGGAAAAACAGUAGUUACUGCAUCAUAUAGUUCCAAGUAAAUCAUAUAGUUCCAAGUAAAUUUGACAUGGAAAUAAGUGUUAACUACAAAAAUAGAAUAUAUACAUUCCAAUGUUUGGAAAAGAAGUGGUAAAAAGAAAAAUAGCAAAAAGACACUAAAAUUAGCAAAAAGUAGAUUGACAGUACAGAUGACCUAUAAACUGGUUAAAUAGCCCUAUUACAAUUGAAAUUGGGUCAAAAAUCAAUCUCUAACCUGAGAUACAUUUGUAUAAAACAAAUGAUCAAAGAGUUUAAAGAUAAUGGAAACUAUAAAUCAUAGAAAUGGCAACAUUUUUCUUAAAAUCUAAACAUAAGACAUUUUAUGUAAAACAUACAAUAUAGGAUGUAACAUUUAACAAACUAUAUGGUAAAUAAUAUGACAUUAAUAUAUAAAAUAUAUGUUCCAGAUCUUGAUGUGGGUGAUAGUUUUACUUAUGUACAUCGAUAUACAUCUAUUUAAAAACAUGUACAUUUAAAUUGUUGCAUUUUAUGUAUUUAAAAUUUAUUGAGUAAUCCUUCUGUAUGUAUUAUUAAAGAGAAUAUAGCAAAAAAAAAAAAAAAAAAA
rnacentral:lncRNA from 1 species